UCUCUAAAAACCCAUAUGUCUGAAAAACCUAUUGCCCUGUUGCAGCCCCAACCCCCUGAGCAAAAAGCUAUUUCUAGUCUCACUAGGAGAAGCGGGCAUAGGCCGGAGAUAAGCCCAAGCCGCUUCUUUGACGAGCCUAUUCUUUAGAGAGAUCUCGCCCCACCCACUGUUUCACACCCCGUUGGUGACUGGAUCGCAUUUGGUGAGCUCGGUAGAAGAUCGCGAAGGCUUGCGUAUGAUAGCGGCUUGAGGGUUGUGCACGAUAAGUCAUCAAGGGUUGUGUAUGGUGAGAUUUUGAGGUUUGCAAGUUCUUUGGCUUCACAGGUGGCCAUGGAAACGCUCGAGCUUUGAGGUAGCCGGAGCUCGAUGGACACAGUGGCCGGAACCAUGUUUCUCUGGCGAAGUGACGGGGGAUCCAUUUUCACGGCCACCAUUUUGGCCGGAAUCUUGACCGGAAUGUGUAGGGAAUAUUGAUGGCAGGAAAAUCGGCCAGAGAUUGCAAGAAGAAAGAGAAAAUGCAGAUAACACUAAUUGUGGUUUUAUUGCUUUAACUUUAGAUGGAAAUUGCAAGGAGAACCCACAAAUUUUCGGUUUAGGGUUUCACAGACUGAAUUCAGCUUCAAUUUAUAAGAAUAACGGAAAAAAUGACUGUAAUGGCCGAAAUUUUGAUCGGGAUUUGCAAAGAGUAAGGGGAAAUCCAAGGGUCAGGGGUUUUUAGCCUGGAGAGAGGUUUUUGAUGAAGAUUGCGGCCAAAACACAAAGUUUCCGGUGGAGGUUCCAAGCCCAGUAGUAGAUAUCUAGUGAAGACCCAGCCAAUAUUUUGGAAACGAUUUCCGUGAAAUCAGAGUCUUUCGUCGGAAUUUGAUCGUCUUUUAGGGCUCAAAGUUUGUUUGGUCCGCUUGUUUGCCGUGAAAAGUUUUUGGGGUGUCAUUAUAGUUUUUAUUUGGGUAAAAAAUUUACGGUUCCAUAGAUCCAACAAGUUUGUAAGAUGGAAAAGAUGGAGACCCUUUACCUACAAUUAAUAUUUUCAAUUUUUGGUUAUCAAACAUUACAUAAAUAAAAAAUAAGAGAUAAAAAAAUAUUUUUCAAAAAAAUAAAAAAUAAAGACAUCCUACCAUACGCCCCAAGUGCAAAUGGUAUUUGCCAUCGACGCAAUUGAGUUCUUUUCACAGGGUACGAGGAAGAAUGCUAGGUUGGACCUUGUACACAACUGCGGUUCACACUGGGGACAAAACUAUGAGAUGAGAUGCGAUGCGAUGCGAUGCGAAGCGAUGCGAUGCGAUGCGAUGGAUUCUCAAGAGGUACAUUGGAGAAACUGAAGUCUUUCUUUUCUUUUAUUUUCCCCGAGACAUAUAGGGAUCACCCGCAUUUAGCCAGUGUUUUAAAAACCGCCCACUUCCUACUUGAAUUGUCCAUCUGGAUUGGAAUCGUUCAUGAUUGAAUCAGUUUUGGCCUUUUGGGUGAUAUAAGGCCCCGCCCUGCCCUGUUGCCCCCUAAAAACAAUUUGUAUAUUUUAAGUUCAUUUAAUAUUUUUGUAGUUCCCGUCUAUAAACCCUUAUUUUAAUUUUUUUUUGUCUCAUUUAUUUAGCAACAUAUUUCUAGAUCACGAAUUUGUUCUGAUCCAGUAAUCCGAUACAAAUUUGUGUGUAAAUUAUUUACGAUUUGAUAUAGAUUUGUAUGUAAAUUAUCUGCCAUACCAAUCCAG
rnacentral:lncRNA from 1 species